rnacentral:rRNA from 1 species
AGAGUUUGAUCCUGGCUCAGAUUGAACGCUGGCGGCAUGCCUUACACAUGCAAGUCGAACGGCAGCACGAGAGCUUGCUCUUGGUGGCGAGUGGCGAACGGGUGAGUAAUAUAUCGGAACGUACCCUAGAGUGGGGGAUAACGUAGCGAAAGUUACGCUAAUACCGCAUACGAUCUACGGAUGAAAGUGGGGGAUCGCAAGACCUCAUGCUCAUGGAGCGGCCGAUAUCUGAUUAGCUAGUUGGUGGGGUAAAAGCUCACCAAGGCGACGAUCAGUAGCUGGUCUGAGAGGACGACCAGCCACACUGGAACUGAGACACGGUCCAGACUCCUACGGGAGGCAGCAGUGGGGAAUUUUGGACAAUGGGCGCAAGCCUGAUCCAGCAAUGCCGCGUGAGUGAAGAAGGCCUUCGGGUUGUAAAGCUCUUUUGUCAGGGAAGAAACGGUGGACUCUAAUACAGAUCACUAAUGACGGUACCUGAAGAAUAAGCACCGGCUAACUACGUGCCAGCAGCCGCGGUAAUACGUAGGGUGCAAGCGUUAAUCAGAAUUACUGGGCGUAAAGCGUGCGCAGGCGGUUGUGCAAGACAGAUGUGAAAUCCCCGGGCUCAACCUGGGAAUUGCAUUUGUGACUGCACGGCUAGAGUGUGUCAGAGGGGGGUAGAAUUCCACGUGUAGCAGUGAAAUGCGUAGAGAUGUGGAGGAAUACCGAUGGCGAAGGCAGCCCCCUGGGAUAACACUGACGCUCAUGCACGAAAGCGUGGGGAGCAAACAGGAUUAGAUACCCUGGUAGUCCACGCCCUAAACGAUGUCUACUAGUUGUCGGGUCUUAAUUGACUUGGUAACGCAGCUAACGCGUGAAGUAGACCGCCUGGGGAGUACGGUCGCAAGAUUAAAACUCAAAGGAAUUGACGGGGACCCGCACAAGCGGUGGAUGAUGUGGAUUAAUUCGAUGCAACGCGAAAAACCUUACCUACCCUUGACAUGUCUGGAAUCCUUGAGAGAUCAGGGAGUGCUCGAAAGAGAAUCAGAACACAGGUGCUGCAUGGCUGUCGUCAGCUCGUGUCGUGAGAUGUUGGGUUAAGUCCCGCAACGAGCGCAACCCUUGUCAUUAGUUGCUACGAAAGGGCACUCUAAUGAGACUGCCGGUGACAAACCGGAGGAAGGUGGGGAUGACGUCAAGUCCUCAUGGCCCUUAUGGGUAGGGCUUCACACGUCAUACAAUGGUACAUACAGAGGGCCGCCAACCCGCGAGGGGGAGCUAAUCCCAGAAAGUGUAUCGUAGUCCGGAUUGUAGUCUGCAACUCGACUACAUGAAGUUGGAAUCGCUAGUAAUCGCGGAUCAGCAUGUCGCGGUGAAUACGUUCCCGGGUCUUGUACACACCGCCCGUCAUACCAUGGGAGCGGGUUUCACCAGAAGUGGGUAGCCUAACCGCAAGGAGGGCGCUCACCACGGUGGGAUUCGUGACUGGGGUGAAGUCGUAACAAGGUA